UGGGGAAUAUUGCACAAUGGGCGCAAGCCUGAUGCAGCCAUGCCGCGUGUGUGAAGAAGGCCUUCGGGUUGUAAAGCACUUUCAGCGAGGAGGAAGGUGGUGGACUUAAUACGUUCAUCAAUUGACGUUACUCGCAGAAGAAGCACCGGCUAACUCCGUGCCAGCAGCCGCGGUAAUACGGAGGGUGCAAGCGUUAAUCGGAAUUACUGGGCGUAAAGCGCACGCAGGCGGUUUGUUAAGUCAGAUGUGAAAUCCCCGGGCUCAACCUGGGAACUGCAUUUGAAACUGGCAAGCUAGAGUCUCGUAGAGGGGGGUAGAAUUCCAGGUGUAGCGGUGAAAUGCGUAGAGAUCUGGAGGAAUACCGGUGGCGAAGGCGGCCCCCUGGACGAAGACUGACGCUCAGGUGCGAAAGCGUGGGGAGCAAAGCAGGAUUAGAUACCCUGGUAGUCCACGCUGUAAACGAUGUCGAUUUUGGAGGUUGUGCCCUUGAGGCGUGGCUUCCGGAGCUAACGCGUUAAAUCGACCGCCUGGGGAGUACGGCCGCAAGGUUAAAACUCAAAUGAAUUGACGGGGUCAUAGCUGUUUCCU
rnacentral:rRNA from 1 species